rnacentral:rRNA from 1 species
UACGUAGGGGGCAAGCGUUGUCCGGAAUCAUUGGGCGUAAAGAGCGUGUAGGCGGUCCGGUCAGUCGGUUGUGAAAGUCAAGGGCUCAACCCUUGAAUGCCGGCCGAUACUGCCGGGCUAGAGUCCGGAAGAGGUGAGUGGAAUUCCGGGUGUAGCGGUGAAAUGCGCAGAUAUCAGGAGGAACACCGAUGGCGAAGGCAGCUCACUGGGACGGUACUGACGCUGAGACGCGAAGGCCAGGGGAGCAAACGGG